rnacentral:rRNA from 1 species
CGUCGAGCGGCGGACGGGUGAGUAACGCGUAGGAAUCUACCCAGUAGCGGGGGAUAGCCCGGGGAAACCCGGAUUAACACCGCAUACGCCCCACGGGGGAAAGCAGGGGAUCUUCGGACCUUGCACUAUUGGAUGAGCCUGCGUUGGAUUAGCUAGUUGGUGGGGUAAAGGCCUACCAAGGCGACGAUCCAUAGCUGGUCUGAGAGGAUGAUCAGCCACACUGGGACUGAGACACGGCCCAG